rnacentral:rRNA from 1 species
UGGCUCAGGACGAACGCUGGCGGCGUGCCUAAUACAUGCAAGUCGAGCGGACAGACGGGAGCUUGCUCCCUGAUGUUAGCGGCGGACGGGUGAGUAACACGUGGGUAACCUGCCUGUAAGACUGGGAUAACUCCGGGAAACCGGGGCUAAUACCGGAUGGUUGUCUGAAUCGCAUGGUUCAGACAUAAAAGGUGGCUUCGGCUACCACUUACAGAUGGACCCGCGGCGCAUUAGCUAGUUGGUGAGGUAACGGCUCACCAAGGCGACGAUGCGUAGCCGACCUGAGAGGGUGAUCGGCCACACUGGGACUGAGACAUGGCCCAGACUCCUACGGGAGGCAGCAGUAGGGAAUCUUCCGCAAUGGACGAAAGUCUGACGGAGCAACGCCGCGUGAGUGAUGAAGGUUUUCGGAUCGUAAAGCUCUGUUGUUAGGGAAGAACAAGUGCCGUUCAAAUAGGGCGGCACCUUGACGGUACCUAACCAGAAAGCCACGGCUAACUACGUGCCAGCAGCCGCGGUAAUACGUAGGUGGCAAGCGUUGUCCGGAAUUAUUGGGCGUAAAGGGCUCGCAGGCGGUUUCUUAAGUCUGAUGUGAAAGCCCCCGGCUCAACCGGGGAGGGUCAUUGGAAACUGGGGAACUUGAGUGCAGAAGAGGAGAGUGGAAUUCCACGUGUAGCGGUGAAAUGCGUAGAGAUGUGGAGGAACACCAGUGGCGAAGGCGACUCUCUGGUCUGUAACUGACGCUGAGGAGCGAAAGCGUGGGGAGCGAACAGGAUUAGAUACCCUGGUAGUCCACGCCGUAAACGAUGAGUGCUAAGUGUUAGGGGGUUUCCGCCCCUUAGCGCUGCAGCUAACGCAUUAAGCACUCCGCCUGGGGAGUACGGUCGCAAGACUGAAACUCAAAGGAAUUGACGGGGGCCCGCACAAGCGGUGGAGCAUGUGGUUUAAUUCGAAGCAACGCGAAGAACCUUACCAGGUCUUGACAUCCUCUGACAAUCCUAGAGAUAGGACGUCCCCUUCGGGGGCAGAGUGACAGGUGGUGCAUGGUUGUCGUCAGCUCGUGUCGUGAGAUGUUGGGUUAAGUCCCGCAACGAGCGCAACCCUUGAUCUUAGUUGCCAGCAUUCAGUUGGGCACUCUAAGGUGACUGCCGGUGACAAACCGGAGGAAGGUGGGGAUGACGUCAAAUCAUCAUGCCCCUUAUGACCCGGGCUACACACGUGCUACAAUGGACAGAACAAAGGGCAGCGAAACCGCGAGGUUAAGCCAAUCCCACAAAUCUGUUCUCAGUUCGGAUCGCAGUCUGCAACUCGACCGCGUGAAGCUGGAAUCGCUAGUAAUCGCGGAUCAGCAUGCCGCGGUGAAUACGUUCCCGGGCCUUGUACACACCGCCCGUCACACCACGAGAGUUUGUAACACCCGAAGUCGGUGAGGUAACCUUUAUGGAGCCAGCCGCCGAAGGUGGGACAGAUGAUUGGGGUGAAGUCGUAACAAGGUA